rnacentral:rRNA from 1 species
AUGCUCGUGUUCUCGAGCACAUGGAAAUACAGCCAAGGGUCGCGGCCGGUAUGUUCCCCAUUUCAGGAUCAUGGCGCUGGCAUUCUUGAGAGGCAACUGUCGGUGUCCACUUCGUAUGUCUCUGCUGAUCUGCAGGUCCCAGGCCGCUUUCUGCUCUGCUGCCACGCCAUGACCGGAGACAUCUUCCGGCGCAUCGUCGGCAAAGAUGAAGAAGAACAUGACGAUGAGCUUCCCGACGAGGAGCCGGCGUUUUUGCCGGUUGAACGACCUCACCAUGCGCCUGCAUGCAUGCACGGCUCUUCCUCGACAGGUAGUACCUGCUCGUGCCUUGAUGAGGUCGUUCAACCAGCAAAACGGCGGCGGUCGUCGGCGACGGCGGGUCCCGGCGGUGCCUAA